CAGUCGCCGCGGUAAAACGGAGGGUGCAGCGUUAAUCGGAAUUACUGGGCGUAAAGCGCACGCAGGCGGUUUGUUAAGUCUGCUGUGAAAUCCCCGGGCUCAACCUGGGAAUGGCAGUGGAUACUGGCAAGCUAGAGUGUGUCAGAGGAUGGUGGAAUUCCCGGUGUAGCGGUGAAAUGCGUAGAGGUCGGGAGGAACAUCAGUGGCGAAGGCGGCCAUCUGGGACAACACUGACGCUGAGGCACGAAAGCGUGGGGAGCAAACAGGAUUAGAUACCCCCGUAGUCCCUGUCUCUUAUACA
rnacentral:rRNA from 1 species